CACGUAGGGGGCAAGCGUUGUCCGGAAUUACUGGGCGUAAAGGGUGCGUAGGCGGCCAAAUAAGUCAGAUGUGAAAGUCCAGGGCUUAACCGUGGAAUCGCAUUUGAAACUGUAUGGCUUGAGUGCAGGAGAGGAGAGCGGAAUUCCUAGUGUAGUGGUGAAAUGCGUAGAUAUUAGGAAGAACACCAGUGGCGAAGGCGGCUCUCUGGACUGUAACUGACGCUGAGGCACGAAAGCGUGGGGAGCGAAC
rnacentral:rRNA from 1 species